rnacentral:rRNA from 1 species
CGCGGCCUAUCAGCUUGUUGGUGGGGUAACGGCCUACCAAGGCGUCGACGGGUAGCUGGUCUGAGAGGAUGAUCAGCCACACUGGGACUGAGACACGGCCCAGACUCCUACGGGAGGCAGCAGUAGGGAAUCUUGCGCAAUGGGCGAAAGCCUGACGCAGCAACGCCGCGUGCGGGAAGAAGGCCCUCGGGUUGUAAACCGCUUUUGGCAGGAACGAAAAUGACGGUACCUGCAGAAUAAGGUGCGGCCAACUACGUGCCAGCAGCCGCGGUGACACGUAGGCACCAAGCGUUGUCCGGAUUUAUUGGGCGUAAAGAGCUCGUAGGCGGUUCAGUGAGUCGGGUGUGAAAACUCUGGGCUUAACCCGGAGACGCCACCCGAUACUGCUGAACUCGAGUUCGGUAGGGGAGCGGGGAAUUCCCGGAGUAGCGGUGAAAUGCGCAGAUACCGGGAGGAACGCCGAUGGCGAAGGCAGCCACCUGGUCCACACCUGACGCUGAGGCGCGAAAGCGUGGGGAGCAAACCGGAUUAGAUACCCGGGUAGUCCACGCCCUAAACGAUGCGCGCUAGGUCUUUGGGGUAUACCUGGGGGCCGAAGCUAACGCGUUAAGCGCCCCGCCUGGGGAGUACGG